GGAUUGUCAAAUUUAUUUAUUUUUUUUUUUUAUUUUAUUUUAUUUUUUGGCUGUAUCCAAGGUCCCUUAAGGCAACCCAUACUAAGCAACGGGUUGCGUACACUACCAAGGAUGCUGCUGUUUGCAGCCAUUGCACACCAGGCCCCCAUGGGGAACAGAGCAUGGUCGGCUUAAUUGGCUGCAGUGGAUUGUCAAAUUUAAAAUCAACAUCCAACACAGAAAUUGGUGUGAAUCAAUUAAAAAUCUACCUUUGUCCUGGCCUGGCUCAGGGUUGAGCAUUGACCCAUGAACCAGGGGGUCAGGGCACAUGGCCAAUUGGGAGGGUGGGUGCGUGCAGGAGACAGCCUAUCCAUGAUUCUAUCAUUGAUGUUUCUAUCUUCCUGAAACCGAUAAAAACCUAUAUUUAAAAUUCUACCUGUUUUGGCAGAUCGGUAAAAUACAUAUUUUUUUGUGUGCUGCAGUUUUAGUAAUUUGUGCUGCAUGAGGUGAAAAAGGUUGACAAUUGCUGCUCUGGAGCUUCCUAUCUAGAUAUAGGUUGAUCAGAAGUGAAUUCUUUGCUUUAACCAGCUUUACUGUACUGCUGAAUUAAGCUCUUUACCUUGUUUUGCAGCCUUCAGUCAAGAUUCUAAAUAACUUGAUUUGGGAAAGAAGAGGCGCCACCUCACCAUUUUGGCAGUUAAUGCUUUUUGGAUUCCUCUAAAGUGAUGGCUGCUUUUGGAGGAUAAGUAGCUGCCCUUUGGAGUAAAAGGAAAAUUGAAUGCAAAUUCUGUCAUUCCCAGAUCUGUAUUAACUGUUAGACUAAUAGGGUGGCCCAUUGAAAUUUAUGUCAUUACAGAAGGCACUGAGCGUUGGCAGCUUUUUUUUUUUAAUCAUCACCAGAGUAUAUUUUUCUUCUUUUUUCUUUUAAUAUAUUUUAUUGAUUUUUUUUUUUUUUUUUUUUUUUUUUUACAGAGAGGAAAGGAGAGGGAUAGAGUGAGAAACAUUGAUCAGCUGCCUCCUGCACACCCCCCACUGGGGAUAUUGCCCGCAACCAAGGCACAUGCCCCUGACCGGAAUUGAACCCAGGACCCUUCAGUCCACAGGCCGACGCUCUAUCCGCUGAGCCAAACAGGUCAGGGCCAGAGAAACAUCUAUUGGUUGCACCCGAGGUACAUGCCCUUGACCAGAAUCAAACCUGGGACUCUUCAGCCUACGCUCUACUCACAGCCAAACUGGCUAGGGCUGGGCAGCUUUAUUGAGACAGUAUUGGUCCUUGAAAAGGCCCAGAAAACCUGUCAGAAUGUGUGAUGCAAAAAAAUGAAACUAAAAUGAUACUUUGUUUUUUUUUAUCCUCAAAGUUGGUUUUCUAAUUGCAUAGCUGAAUGAACAGAAGCCCAUGCAAGUCUAAAUGUUUUUUUAAAUCCUUAUGUAUUUGUGAAUUAUAAUAAAGGUGACUAUAUACUUAA